rnacentral:rRNA from 1 species
UACGUAGGGUGCGAGCGUUGUCCGGAAUUAUUGGGCGUAAAGCGUCCGCAGGUGGCACCUCAAGUCUGCUGUCAAAGACCGGGGCUUAACCCCAGAAAGGCAGUGGAAACUGAAGUGCUAGAGUGCAGUAGGGGUAGAGGGAAUUCCCGGUGUAGCGGUGAAAUGCGUAGAGAUCGGGAAGAACAUCGGUGGCGAAAGCGCUCUGCUGGACUGCAACUGACACUCAGGGACGAAAGCUAGGGGAGCGAAUGGG